rnacentral:rRNA from 1 species
UACAGAGGGUGCGAGCGUUGUUCGGAAUUAUUGGGCGUAAAGGGCGCGUAGGCGGUGCGGUAAGUCACCUGUGAAAUCUCCUGGCUCAACUGGGAGCUUGCAGGCGAAACUGCCGUGCUGGAGUGUGGGAGAGGUGCGUGGAAUUCCUGGUGUAGCGGUGGAAUGCGCAGAUAUCAGGAAGAACACCCGUGGCGAAGGCGGCUCUCUGGAACGCAACUGACGCUGAGACGCGAAAGCGUGGGGAGCAAACAGG